GGGCCUGACUGAACGUAACGAGAACUGCUAAUUACUCGCCACCGUGAUUACACCCGCGGCAGGCCCG
rnacentral:tRNA from 1 species